AGCAUAUGUAUAUAAAACUUAUACGGUACCAAUUUUGAUGCACCAGAUGCGCAUUUCGACAAAUAAUGUCUCUUCAGUGAUGCUCAACCGAAAUGUUUGAAAUCCGAAAUAACUAUGUAUGUAAUCCCUUACCAAAUAGCACUUCAAAUAUAGGACAUAUCUAUCUUUAAAUAAAUAUGAUCAGUACUUUCGUGCGAAACUGUCCCUUACUAUCAUGAAGCUUAUAUUCUGCUUUAAAACACAAACCAAUAAUUCUUAAUUGUAUUUUUUUCAUCUUUAAAAAGGUUAUUGACAUCCCAAUAUUUAGUGGGAAGCUUCCGGGUAUCUUCCACUAGUGACAGUCUACUGGCAAAUCCAGACAUGCAUUGGAAGCAUGUUGAUGUGGAGGACACAGGGACACCUGAUCCAAGAACUGUGGCAUUUCAUUCGGAGUGACAACCUGGCAUGCAGUUGAAGAUUUGGUUUUCUCCAUCUGUGUUGCCACUAACCAUUGUGCUGUGAUGGUCAUAGCUAGGGGGAAGGAUUGUCAUAUGCUUCCCAAGGAAGUACGAAGCCUCUCACUGAAGAGGAACUGUACAGAUUUUUGGGCAUUAUCUUAUACAUGUCUGCUGAGAAGUUCCAGUUGAUAGACAGAUAUUGGUCAACGCAUGCCCCUAUCAGAACAACCUAGUAUCAAAAAUUAUGUCUCGAAAUAUGUUUUAAGAGGUUGAAUAUAAGAAGAACAAUUUUUAUUAAAUAUAAUGCAAGUACAUUUAAAUUUAGUGAUUGAAAGUAAGUACUUGAACAUUCGUAUACAUGAACAAUGACCUUGGGGAGGAAAAACGGGCGUUAUUUUCGCAUAGCAUUUGAUAUCAUAAUGGUGUUGUUGCUUAGCAACCAAAUAUAUUUGAAUAUUUAAAAAAUUAUUUUUUUAGAUUUUAACAGGAAAUAUCUUUCUUUUAAUGUUGCAAUAUUUAUACUAUUUAGUGGGACACAAUGGCAAAACGUCAUAUUAUUAGAAAAUGAUGAAUAUGUAUAUGAAGUACGAAAUUUUCAUUUUAUGACCUUUGACCUUAAUUCUCUUCAUGAUAGUUUUUGUUAAAAACCUUUUAAAAUGAUUAAAAUCUAGUCACAGAUUAUAUUUUUAAAAUAAUGUGACAUUUACUAAUCAUCAUGCAAUGUAAUUAUGUUUGAAUUGUGUCGAAUGGAUGUA